UCGGGAUUACGCAAACGGCAAAGCGGCUAUCUGGAAUAGAUAGUGAAAGAUGUUCUAGGCAUCAGUUUAUUGGGAGUUCGAAUCUCUCAUCCCGAG
rnacentral:tRNA from 1 species